rnacentral:rRNA from 1 species
AUUGAACGCUGGCGGCGUGCCUAACACAUGCAAGUCGAGCGGUAACAGGUGUAGCAAUACAUGCUGACGAGCGGCGGACGGGUGAGUAACGCUUGGGAAUCUGCCUGUUAGUGGGGGACAACCCGGGGAAACUCGGGCUAAUACCGCAUACGCACUACGGUGGAAAGCCGGGGACCGCAAGGCCUGGCGCUAACAGAUGAGCCCAAGUCGGAUUAGCUAGUGUAGGUAACGGCCACCAAGCGACGAUCCGUAACUGGUCUGAGAGGACGACCAGUCACACCGGAACUGAGACACGGUCCGGACUCCUACGGGAGGCAGCAGUGGGGAAUAUUGGACAAUGGGCGAAAGCCUGAUCCAGCGACGCCGCGUGGGUGAAGAAGGCCUGCGGGUUGUAAAGCCCUUUCGGUGGGGAAGAAAGCCUCGAGUUAACACCUCGGGGUCUUGACGUAACCCAUUAAAGAAGCACCGGCUAACUCUGUGCCA